UUGGUGUCAACGCACCUAGUUGUAAACAAAUGGAAAUUGAAAGUAAAAGUGCAACGGCACGGUAUAUUUUUUCUGGCAUUUUUUGUUUUCCAAUAUCUCGAACUUUCACGACAAAAAGACCAUUUUCCCGAAAUUCAAUAUAUGUAUCAGUGAGAGGUGCUAAAGUUUGUAUGGAAGUCUAUGGGAAAACAUUUGGUGGUGUUUGUCCUAUAGAAAAGCAAUGCAUUAUCAAGAAGGAAGAGAUUAAUGAACCCUACCCUCUUACAAUGAACAAAACAUGGACACUCUCGGGAUGAUCCUUUUGCUUUCAUUAAGAGUUCCAAGAUGUGGGUCUGAUUGACUGGGGUGUGAAAUGUAACAGCCAAUGGUGUACUUAAGC